CGGCGUGCCUUAAUACAUGCAAGUCGAGCGAACGGACGAGAAGCUUGCUUCUCUGAUGUUAGCGGCGGACGGGUGAGUAACACGUGGAUAACCUACCUAUAAGACUGGGAUAACUUCGGGAAACCGGAGCUAAUACCGGAUAAUAUUUUGAACCGCAUGGUUCAAAAGUGAAAGACGGUCUUGCUGUCACUUAUAGAUGGAUCCGCGCUGCAUUAGCUAGUUGGUAAGGUAACGGCUUACCAAGGCAACGAUGCAUAGCCGACCUGAGAGGGUGAUCGGCCACACUGGAACUGAGACACGGUCCAGACUCCUACGGGAGGCAGCAGUAGGGAAUCUUCCGCAAUGGGCGAAAGCCUGACGGAGCAACGCCGCGUGAGUGAUGAAGGUCUUCGGAUCGUAAAACUCUGUUAUUAGGGAAGAACAUAUGUGUAAGUAACUGUGCACAUCUUGACGGUACCUAAUCAGAAAGCCACGGCUAACUACGUGCCAGCAGCCGCGGUAAUACGUAGGUGGCAAGCGUUAUCCGGAAUUAUUGGGCGUAAAGCGCGCGUAGGCGGUUUUUUAAGUCUGAUGUGAAAGCCCACGGCUCAACCGUGGAGGGUCAUUGGAAACUGGAAAACUUGAGUGCAGAAGAGGAAAGUGGAAUUCCAUGUGUAGCGGUGAAAUGCGCAGAGAUAUGGAGGAACACCAGUGGCGAAGGCGACUUUCUGGUCUGUAACUGACGCUGAUGUGCGAAAGCGUGGGGAUCAAACAGGAUUAGAUACCCUGGUAGUCCACGCCGUAAACGAUGAGUGCUAAGUGUUAGGGGGUUUCCGCCCCUUAGUGCUGCAGCUAACGCAUUAAGCACUCCGCCUGGGGAGUACGACCGCAAGGUUGAAACUCAAAGGAAUUGACGGC
rnacentral:rRNA from 1 species